GGGAUUACCACCAUCACGG
rnacentral:snRNA from 1 species